AUGGCGAAGCUGUACGUGCAGGCGGUGCCCCCGCCGGAUCUGAACAAGAACACUGAGUGGUUCAUGUACCCGGGGGUCUGGACCACCUACAUCUUCAUCCUCUUCAUUACAUACCACUUCUUCCACUGGAAGAAGGGAACUCCAUUUGCUGAUGAUCAGGGGAUGUAUAAUCGAUUGACCUGGUGGGAGCAAAUGGACAACGGCAAGCAGCUUACUCGCAACAGAAAAUUUCUUGUUGUGGUUCCUGUAGUCCUGUACUUGAUCGCUUCGCACACCACAGACUAUCAACAUCCUAUGCUCUUUUUGAACACCAUUGCAGUCACAGUACUGGUUGUUGCGAAACUACCGAACAUGCACAAGGUCCGGAUUUUUGGAAUCAAUGCCGGUAACUAA
rnacentral:rRNA from 1 species